UUUUUACUUUGACUUCCUGGGUGGUGCCUGUGGCUCAGGGAGUAGGGCACCAGUCCCAUAUACCAAGGGUGGCAGGUUCAAACCUGACCCUGGCCAAAACUGCAACAACAAAAAAUUAAUUAAUUACUUUGACUUCCUUAUUUUCAGCCAUUCUGGGUAAAAAAAAUUCAUUGAGUCUUGCUGCACCCCUGGGACCCUAAACCUAGACCCAGAUCCCAUGAGCCAAUGUCUCUGUGAAGUUGAGCAACUUGUGAAUGAUACAAGUACCACGUGGGUAGAAUAGUAUGAUUAUAUCUGUAAACAUUUGCCUGAUUCUUUUCUUCAGAAUGAUCUAGAUUCAAUUAGCAGGUGCCAUAAAAAGGAAACAUCAAUGGGAAAAAUGGAUUAAAGAUUAAACGUGACUGAUCCCAGCAGGAAGCCAGUCUGACUGUUCCCAAGGUGGAAACUUAUCAGAAGAAGGGUCUUGCUCUCUCACCUUGGCCAGGGAGCUGUGGUAUGACUGUUGCUCAUUGUAACCUUGAACACCUGGGCUUCAGUGCUUCUUCCACCUCAGCACCCCCAGUAGCUGGGACAACAAGCGUGAGCCCCCAGACCUGGCUGAGCUAGAAUGUUGACACCGAGGAAAGCCACGGUUAUAAUUAUGUUGUUAUAAACAUGGACACUCUAAAGGGAUCCUGCUGAGGAAAAAGGAGCUCUUUUCUUCUGAUAAUGAGGUGGAAACAGAGGUGACUGAUCCCACUCAGAAGUCAUUCCAAAUGACUGGCUUUGCGCUUGAGAGGAAAUUUGGACUCAGACGAGCACAUGGCAGAAGCCCGCGUGGACGUGGCGGCAGAGCUCAGAGGGAGGCGUUCAGCAGUGGAGAAACCCCAGCCGACGACCAGCAGCUCCGAGGGAGCCUGGGACAGAGUCUCCCCCUCAGCCUUCGGGAGUAACCCACUCUGCCAGCACUUCGGUCUUUGACUUGCAGAAUCCGGAACUGAGAUAUGAGUUUUUGUUGUCUUGACCCCUCCAUGGCUGAAACCCCGGGUGACUUAAUUACAAGGGAGGUGCUGCAAAUUCUCGAGGCCACACACCCAACUGCCUUCUGCCUCAGCAGCCCAACCCUUCUCUCAGCAGCAGCUUCUGGGGCUUCCAGUCUGACCCUGCUUGGGGACCAUGUCUUCCCUUUGUAAGAGGCAGUCAGCAUCUUGCUGUGAGAAUUUCUUUAGAAUGGUCUGGACUCUCCGUCUGGUUGUGGCAACUGAUAGGAAAGAAAAGUGACCUCUCCCAAUCAGAGACAGUGUCUGCUUCCCACAUUCUUCCCUGGGCUUCAGUGCUGGGGGAAUGAGGACCUUCACAAGGGAAGCUGGAUGUGUGAGAAUGGGCCACAUCCCUUCCCUGUUCCAAGCCCCAGGCGCGGGGACCCAGCCUGCUUUGGAACAAGGGACAACCUUGAGUGACUGACGAAGCCAAAGCUUUGAAGUGCACUAGGCUAAGUUUUUUUUUUUUGGUUUUUGACCAGGGCUGGGUUUGAACCCGCCACCUCUGGCAUAUGGGACCAGCGCCCUACUCCUUGAGCCACAGGCGCCGCCCAAUUUUAACAGAUGACUAUUUGGAAACAAAUGGAAGCUGACCAAGUUGUCAUUAAGGGGAGCCCACCUGACAGGACUGAGGCAGUAACUAGAACUCUCCACAGGCGGGUCACUACUUCUGCCCAUUGCCAAGUCAGCUGAGGCCUGGCUGAGGCUUGUGCUCAAAGCUCUCUGGAACUUGUAGAGCUCUUUCAAUAGAGCCAUUACUAAUGGAUUUCACCUGCCUUACCACUGGGCUGGUGAGUAACUGCUGAUGUGGGGGCUAAGAUGAUUUUUCACUUGGUGCCUGGUAUUUAGAAAUUAUGUAGCAUUUUCAGAACUCUUGCACUAUUCUUUGUCAUUUUUAAGGGAAUUAUUAAACUGUAGCUUAAAAUAUGGAGUGCUGGAAACAUCUUCUCUCUCCUAUAGUACUAGAAAAAUACGGUUUUGUUUUCCAUGUUGUUUGUAUUUUCAAAGAAGUAGCUCUUGGAAUUAUUGAUUGGCUCCACUAUUUUACUAAUUCAUUGUGUUCUAUUUUUAUUUUCUAAGUUCCCAUCCAUUAUUUUUAAUAUUAAUUUUGUUUCCUUUCUUCUUCAGUUUAAUACUUAAUUUAUUACGGCCACUUUUCUUUAACAGUGCAAAACUUUAGUGGUAUAAAUUUUCUUCAGAUAUCAGCUUUGGUUGUAUCAGACGUUUGAGGAUAUAGUGGUGUGAUUAUUAUUUAGUAUUAAGUGUUAUGAGUGAGUUUAUUUUCUUCUUUGGCCUAAGAGUUACCAAGGGCAAUGGCCUUUAAUUUGUAAGUGGUUGGUUUUGUUUAUCACAUUGUGACCAGAUUUAUUUAUUUUUUAGAGAUGGGGUCUCUUUGUGUAGCCCAGGCUGGUCUCAACCCACCCCACCCUCAGUCUUCUGAGAGGGGGGACUAUAGCCACCGACCACUGUGCCUGCCAAGUUCCUAUUUUUUAGAAUUUAUAACGAUGUUCUUUGUAGUAUAAUGUAUGACACAUUUUUUAUAUUGCUUUCAUGAGUGUUAAGAAAUAAGUUCCAUUCUCUAUAUAAAGUUGAGAGUUAAUUACUAGCAUUUAAACUGGGCUUACUAAGGACAGAAUUCAGAUUCCCUUUAUGAUUUUUAUUAUUUUUGCCUAGUUGAUCUUUUGAGGAUUAAGAAUGGUAAGAUUCUUCCACUACUAUUAUACUUAUGUACUUUAUUCUUGCCUUAGCAAAUGUUUUUGCUUUAUAUAAAAAAGUUUCAUGGAAAUAAUAUCCUUAAUUUGAGUAGUAUAAUUCAUCAAUAUAAAAUCACCCAGUUUUUUCUUGAAUUAUUUAAAAAUACUUAUACACAGUAUAAUAAGCGUUUGUUGUAAAAUUUUCAGUUAAUACAGACAUGAUAAAUGGAAGCCAAGAUCUUAUUUGUCACUCCCAACAAUUCCAUUCCUCUGAUGUACGAUGGUACCUUAAAGAUUUAUUGGUAUGAUCUUCCAGAUUAAAACAUCCACAUUUAAUUAUUUUUUCACAUUAGAGUUUGUAGUCUACUUUUAUAUUUCAGUAAUAUGAUAUGGAUAUCUGUGUAAUCUUUUAAUGGCUACACAUUACUUAAUUGAAUGGAUUUACCACAAUUUAUUUAAUAAAUCUUCUUUUCUUUUUUUUUUUUUUUUGGGUAGAGGCAGAGUCUCACUUUAUGGCCCUCCGUAGAGUGCCGUGGCCUCACACAGCUCACAGCAACCUCCAACUCCUGGGCUUAAGCAAUUCUCUUGCCUCAGCCUCCCAAGUAGCUGGGACUACAGGCACCUGCCACAAUGCCUGGCUAUUUUUUUUUGGUUGCAGUUUGGCCGGGCCGAGUUUGAACCCACCACCCUCGGUAUAUGGGGCCGGCGCCUCACCGACUGAGCCACAGGCGCUGCCCAUAAAUCUUCUUUUCAAUAAGUAUUCAAGGUAGCGAUGUUUUGCUAUUAUAAGCAAUUUUUAUAGCUUUAGUUGUGUUUUUGUCUAAUAAUUUUGUGACACCUUAUUCUUUGUUUUUAUGUGUAAUAUAUGUAUUUUUGCCCAUUAUUUCUUUCAAACAUACUGCUUUUGAUAACUUGAAAGUAUUUUUUUAAGUUCUCUGCUCAAAUGUUACCUUAUCUAUGAGGACUUCCCUAAGAACCCUUUAAAAAAUCUCUUUCCCCUUCUUCCCCCAUCCAUUUCUGAUUCUCCUUCCUUGCUUUGUUUUUCUGUAUGUUAUUUAGCACUAUCUGACAUUUGUUUAUAAAUUUGUGGCUGUAAUUUGUUCCUCCCUACUCACCCCUACUACAAUGUAAUCUCUACAAGAAGAGGGACCUUUACCUAUUUUGUUCCUUACUUUCUUCCCAGUGUCUGGCAUACAGUAAGUACUCAAUA